rnacentral:lncRNA from 1 species
GAGCCUGAAGGCAGCAGGCUCCUAACCCAGCUCUUCCUUACAGCUGAACAACAACACAACGCCUGGCAAGGCCAUGGUGGUGGAGUUAAUCUUGACUUUCCAGCUAGCCCUCUGCAUCUUCUCCUCCACCGACUCUCGCCGAACCAGCCCUGUGGGCUCCCCAGCCUUAUCCAUUGGCUUGUCUGUCACACUGGGCCAUCUUGUGGGGAUCUACUUCACCGGCUGUUCCAUGAACCCAGCCCGAUCUUUCGGCCCUGCGGUGGUCAUGAACCGGUUCAGCCCCUCUCACUGGGUCUUCUGGGUAGGGCCUAUUGUGGGGGCCAUGCUGGCGGCCAUCCUCUAUUUCUACCUGCUCUUCCCCUCCUCUCUGAGCCUCCAUGAUCGCGUGGCUGUCGUCAAAGGCACAUAUGAGCCGGAGGAGGACUGGGAAGAUCAUCGAGAGGAGAGGAAGAAGACCAUCGAGCUGACGGCACACUGACUGGUGCCGGACAGGGGCCAGUCCCUCAGCCCCUGGACCACUGGAGAAAAGGAAGACGAAGAGUUUGAAGCACCCCUCCCCAACAUCCUCUCAGCUGGGGAAGAGGCAUUGGAUCCCCAUGCUGCGCACAGGGACAGGAGCAGAAGCCCAUAAUGGGACACUUGGGUGUGGGCCAAGGGCUGGAGUCUGACAGGGUCAGGGACAUAGCCGCUUUGGAAUCAGGCAGAAUGUCUGCCACAGCUCAGACCUCAGAGAUCGUGAAUGCGGUGCCAAGCUCACAGGCGGUCCAGGACCACACCAGAAAGGGACGACAGCUUGCUUAUCUCUCCCAACCCAGUAUCUCAAGUGCCAAAGCCGGCCCCCAGGUGGACAGAGGGGACAUUUCCCCCAGAGCUCUUCAGGAGAGGGAUAGAUGGCUCACGGAGUGCUAUUUUAUUUAUUUCUGGUCAAGGAUGGGGGUGGGGUGGGGCUGCUGGUGUUUGAGCUGGGCGCUUCCCAAUAAACCACCUAUCUUC